rnacentral:rRNA from 1 species
AUUGAACGCUGGCGGCAUGCUUUACACAUGCAAGUCGAACGGCAGCACGGACUUCGGUCUGGUGGCGAGUGGCGAACGGGUGAGUAAUACAUCGGAACGUACCCAGUAAUGGGGGAUAACUAGUCGAAAGAUUAGCUAAUACCGCAUACGCCCUACGGGGGAAAGAGGGGGAUCGCAAGAACUCUUGUUAUUGGGUCGGCGGAUGGCUGAUUAGCUAGUUGGUGGGGUAAAGGCCUACCAAGGCGACGAUCAGUAGCGGGUCUUAGAGGACGAUCCGCCACACUGGAACUGAGACACGGUCCAGACUCCUACGGGAGGCAGCAGUGGGGAAUCUUGGACAAUGGGCGAAAGCCUGAUCCAGCAAUGCCGCGUGCGUGAAGAAGGCCCUCGGGUUGUAAAGCGCUUUUGUCUGGGAGCAAAUCCUUGUGGCUAAUACCCACCGGGGAUGAGAGUACCAGAAGAAUAAGGACCGGCUAACUACGUGCCAGCCGCCGCCGUAACAC